AGGACGACGCUGGCGGCGUGCCUAACACAUGCAAGUCGAGCGGAGAUACAUUGAAGAGCAAUCAGAUAUGUAUCUUAGCGGCGGACGGGUGAGUAACGCGUGGGCAACCUGCCUCAUACUGGGGGAUAACACAGGGAAACUUGUGCUAAUACCGCAUAAUAUCAUUAUAGGGCAUCCUGUGAUGAUCAAAGGAGCGAUCCGGUGUGAGAUGGGCCCGCAUCCAAUUAGCUAGUUGGUGGGGUAACGGCCCACCAAGGCGACGAUUGGUAGCCGAACUGAGAGGUUGAUCGGCCACAUUGGGACUGAGACACGGCCCAGACUCCUACGGGAGGCAGCAGUGGGGAAUAUUGCGCAAUGGGGGAAACCCUGACGCAGCAACGCCGCGUGAAGGAUGAAGGUCUUCGGAUUGUAAACUUCUUUGAUGAGGGACGAACACAAUGACGGUACCUCAAAAACAAGCCACGGCUAACUACGUG
rnacentral:rRNA from 1 species